UCUGCAUGCAGCUCAGUUGGUUAGAGCACUGCACCGGAGUCACAGGGCUGCAGGUUCCAUUCCUGCCAGAAGAC
rnacentral:tRNA from 1 species